ensembl:lncRNA
GUUCAAUGUUCCGAAAACGGAACCCAUUAGUCCGAAGGUCCGUUUGUCCGACUUUUCAAAAAGGAAGCGCAUUAGGCCGACGGUUCAAUAUGCCGAAUAGGCCAAGGCACAAUUCCACAUGUGUGAUUAUGAAACCAAAAAUAAAAGACGAUAGGCUAAGUUCCAGCAGUGCACUUCACCAAGCCAGACUGUUGCUGUGGGCUUGAACGGUCACAAGAGAAGCGCACGUUAUACAAGGACUAAUACUUUUCCCGUAAAGAAGUCAAAAGCCUACAUCGUGAAAAAAAACAACGGUUCACGAGAGCUCACUUUUUGAAUAAAGUUAACCGUUAAUUUACCUUAACUGUUACAGUUGAAACUGACACUGACAGUGAACACUUGUUACAUAUAUUAUGAAAUGGCACGUCAAAGAGGAUCGAACUUUUCAACAUUUGAAAAGAUGUUGCUGUCGGAAUUGAUGGAGGACUUUGGGAUUAUAAUUGAGGAUAAAAGGACUGACAGCGUUACGCUGAACAAAAAGGAGGAGACCUGGGUCAUGUUAGCGGAGCGCUUCAAUGGCUCAUCUUGCAUUAAGGAGACGAGGGACAAGUCACAACUGAAAACCUGCUGGAAAAACUUAAGGCAAACGCAAAAAAGGAUGCGGCAGAAGAGAGGAGGGGGAUGAUUAAAACUGGCGGAGGACCACCACCAAUGAUUACGGACCCUCUAUCGAAAAAAAUUAUUCAUAUGACCCCGCAGCAGAUUUCCCCCCUCCCUAACCCAUACGACGAUGACGGCGCAGUAGAGAGGAAUACAGCGACAGAAACUGAAACUGAGACUUUCAUUGUGCUCGACCUGAUAGAGCCACUGGAGCCGGAUGAUGGAAACCUGAGAGCCGAAGCAGCAUCACCAAUGAAUGCCCCUGCUGAAAAGCACUCUCAGCUUGGCUGUCACCGGGAACUUCUAAGAUUGGAGACAGAAAGAUGCAUGCUUGACAUCGAAAAUGCUCCUUUAAAAAAAGAAGACCUUUUGCAACAGAAAGAGGUCCUAUCGCUUCAUUAAUGAAGUAGCCUAGUAAUUAAGUAGUGAAUUAAUUCUGAAACUGUGAUAUCAUUAACGUAUUUAUUUUUAAAUAAGCAAUUGGCUUCCCCCCUGUAUUGUGUUAUAUUUGUUGGAUAAAAUGUUUCUUUCAAUUCAAUUGCCAGUCUCCUUGUCUAGAUUUUCUGGUGAGUUCUUCCUGAAGGAGAAAGUAAGAAGCAUAUAAAUGAGUAAGUAUGGGUUAAGGUAAUCUAAUGUAGAAGUGCCCUAAGUCUAUACAAUUAUGUCAAUACUGACCUUAAUUAUGCUGCAAAGUGAUUUUCAACCAGUGUUCUCCUGACAGCAUUGCCAUUUGGGUUUGCAGCAUUCUGCACUUGAGCAUCUUCCAGGUCUUUCUGAAGUGGGUCCUCAUCCACCUCUGGUAGCUCAUCUCCUACUCUCUUCCCAAAGUUAUACAGCACAGCUACUGCAACGAUGAUGGUCAGGGUAGUGUCCACUUUUGUGCGGAGUCCCUCUUGUAUACAUGGAAAUCUUCGCUUCCACACACCAAAUACUCUCUCUAUUAUCCCUCUAGUUUUAAUGUUGGAGUAAUUGUAAUUUUUCUCUGCCUGGGUCUGAGGGUUCAAAAGAGGAGUCAUCAGGGGCGACAUGCAUAACCAUUGUCACCCACUAGGUGUCCAUGGAUGUCCCCUUCUUCCAGCAGUGCACAAAGUUGACUGUUGUCAAAGAUACGGCUGUCAUGUGUGGAUCCUGGCCAUCUUGCAACAAUGUGUGCGAUCCUGGCCUGGUCAUCGCACACAACCUGGACAUUAAUCGAGCAGUAGCCCUUUCGAUUCCGAAACAGUUCCCCAUUCUCACCACCUGGAUUGGUAAUGGGAACGUGGGUGCAGUCAAUAGCCCCAAUUACUCCCGGAAAAAAACCUGCUCUCCUAUAGAAUCCAGCUGUUGUCUCUCUCCUCGGUUCAAAACGUAUAUACUGACUCUUCAAUCUGGCAAUUGCCUUCUGACAAUCCUGCAGACUGUGGAUUUAUGAACUCCAAAAAGAUCCCCUUCAACCAUCUGAAAACAGCCUGUAGCGUAGAAUCGCAAUGCUAUUAAAAGCUGUUAAAGUGGUGGCACAGCAAAGUUCCUCUCCAUUUGAUGCUUGAUAGCUGGUCCAACCUUCCCAUUGAGG